rnacentral:rRNA from 1 species
AUUGAACGCUGGCGGCAGGCCUAACACAUGCAAGUCGAGCGGAUGAAGGGAGCUUGCUCCUGGAUUCAGCGGCGGACGGGUGAGUAAUGCCUAGGAAUCUGCCUGGUAGUGGGGGAUAACGUCCGGAAACGGGCGCUAAUACCGCAUACGUCCUGAGGGAGGAAGUGGGGGAUCUUCGGACCUCACGCUAUCAGAUGAGCCUAGGUCGGAUUAGCUAGUUGGUGGGGUAAAGGCCUACCAAGGCGACGAUCCGUAACCGGUCUGAGAGGAUGAUCAGUCACACUGGAACUGAGACACGGUCCAGACUCCUACGGGAGGCAGCAGUGGGGAAUAUUGGACAAUGGGCGAAAGCCUGAUCCAGCCAUGCCGCGUGUGUGAAGAAGGUCUUCGGAUUGUAAAGCACUUUAAGUUGGGAGGAAGGGCAGUAAGUUAAUACCUUGCUGUUUUGACGUUACCAACAGAAUAAGCACCGGCUAACUUCGUG